rnacentral:lncRNA from 1 species
CCUACUCAAUCGAUGAAACCUAGCUUGGCCGAAGGUUUCUCCUCUCAACAAUGGUACAUUCGGCUUUUGAAGGAAGAAACAAAAAGAUGAUAGCAAAUUUUGGCUUUUGUUUUAUUUUCAUUUUACCUAAUUUCAUAAAUUACUAUUAUAACCUUACAAUUUCAAUAAAAUUGCAUGUAAUUAGCCUUGCAGACCGUCCAUUAUCUACUCAAAUGGUAUAAUUU